GCUUUGCCUUGAGCAAUAAUUCAUGCUAAAUUUUGUGAAAAUAUCUCGUCAAAUAAAAUAGUUUUUCAUAUAAAAACUUUUCAUCGUUCAGUGUGUAUGACAGUUAAAUGCUAUAGUGGUUCGAUAACGGCGGUUUAAAUAAUUGAGCAACUUCUUGAGUAGAAAAAGAUGUGUGCAAAAUUUCAGCAUAUAUACAGACAGACGGACAUGGCCAAAUCAACUCAGCUCAUCACGCUGGCCAUUUAUAUAUGUAUGUAUACACUUUAAAGGGUCGCCGACGUUUCUUUCUGGAUAUUACAAACUUCAAGGCAAACUUAAUACACUCUGUUGUGGGAAGUAAAAUAAAAAAAUAAUGAAAAAAAAGCAGAUUAACAAACAAAACGCAGAUGGUUUUGAAUCAAACAUUUUUCUCGUUUGACUCAAAAACUUAUCGCUCCAGCGAAGAUGCAAUGACGAGAUGACUGAGAUCAUACUAUAGCAGAUAUAUAAUGCACUUCCCUCUUCGACUUUUUAUUGAUUUAUAAGCAACCCUAAUGACCCGAAGAGCACUUGUGGCAUUCUUCUAAGUAUUUAAGUAUCCACCACUGUACAUUUAUGCUACUCCAGUAGCCAUGUCACACAUUGGUUGUCAAAAACCUUUGUCUUUUAUCAAUUCUGUGUAAUUUAAGAAGACCCAGAAGAUUUUCGAAACAUACAAGUACAUAAACACUUGUAUAAUUACAUACAGAAGGAUGCACGUCGUACAACGAAGGCAUGUAACACUUGUUGGGGGUCCUAAAAGGCAGCUGUGGCGUAACGCCCCAACAAUUCGACACAACAUGCUCCGCUUAGGCUCAGAUCUGCUGACAUCAGUAUUUUGUUGACUAUAAAUUAAUUUUCUAAUGAAAUACUUUAUAAAAACAUUGUCCCAUAAAUGCUGUCACGCUUGAAUUAUAAAGCAAAUAAUGCAUUUGAAAU